CUAAAUCCAGCUCAAGAGAAAAAAUUCGAGGAACUACCUAAUAUUCAGCUUCAUAUUCCCAUCAUCUAUGAGAAAGUCUAGCAUAUUAUGAUGGUGAUGGUGAUGUUGGCGAUGGGGGUGAUGGAGAUGAUGAUGAUGACAGUGAUGGUGACGAGAGUGACUAUGAUGGUGAUGGCGAUGAAGGUGAUGAUAAUGGCGACAAUGGGAGCUAACAUUUAUUAAGUCCCUACUUUGUAACAGCACUUUUAAGCAGUUUACAUGGAUUGCUUCAUUUAAUUUUCACCACAAACCUUGAAAGUCAGCGGACAGACACCAGGACGGGAUAAUUAAAUACGCUGAAGGGCCUGUCACGACUCCACGUGAAUCCAGGAGACAGAGCUUUCAUGGACCAAUCACUGCAUUCCCCCAAAGUGCCCCAUCUCAUAAUUAAAAAUUAAACCAUUUUCC
rnacentral:lncRNA from 1 species